UACGUAGGGACCGAGCGUUGUCCGGAAUCAUUGGGCGUAAAGAGCGUGUAGGCGGCCACUUAAGUCCUGCGUGAAAUCUUGCGGCUCAACCGCAAGCGUUCGUGGGAAACUGGGUGGCUAGAGUGCGGGAGAGGAGAGUGGAAUUCCUGGUGUAGCGGUGGAAUGCGCAGAUAUCAGGAAGAACACCCGUGGCGAAGGCGGCUCUCUGGAACGGUACUGACGCUGAGGCGCGACAGCGUGGGGAGCAAACAGG
rnacentral:rRNA from 1 species